GUCCCGGAACAUCAUUUCGGGCAUUAGUCACUGCACUGGAAUCCUUUGGUGCUUCUCGUGGGCGUAUUGGACCCAUUAAUUAUAUAACUUCGAAGAGAGUGUUCUUCGAAUGGCAAUUCCAGCAAUAUGAGCUGAGAAAAAUUAGAGGAGAAGCUGACAAUGAGUGUCCUGCUUGUGAUAAAACCCCUUUAGCAGUACAUAUUGAUGGCAACAAGAAGCUGUAUCGUUACAACAAAGUUGGGAGAGGUAUCAGAAACCCCUAUUAUUCUGAUAGUAUCUUCAGCAAAGAUGAAGAUGUUCAAGCUCAUGUUGGCACUAUUCAGAGCUUGAAAACUAAGAGUAAGCACACGUGUGGAGUGUCUACAUGGAAAGCUGCUCAAAAUAAGCCUCUUUCAUUCCAAAGUUUGGAUGAA